AACCGAAGGAUUAAGUUGUACAAUAUGGUAAAAAGACAGUUAAACAAACUAAUAUGGUUAAUUCAUCGCACUAUUAGGAGGUAGAAUUCGUAUAUAGGCAGAUAUUUUUAAUAAAACCAGAGAGUUGAGGCUGUGAUAACUUUGAGGGAAACUAGGAUUAGAUACCCUACUAUUCAUUGAAGUAAAUAGAAACUUACCAGAGUACUAAGAAUAAAAAAUUUAAAACUCAAAGGGCUUGGCGGUGUUCUAGACUACUUAGGGGAACCUGUCUCGUAAUCGACAAUCCACGUUAAACCUAACCUUUUUUUGCAUACAGUUUGUAUACCGUCGUCGCCAGGUAACUUUUAAGAUGUAAACAGUUAGCUACUUAAAUAUUUAAAUUAAGACGUCAGAUCAAGGUGCAGCCAACAAAAAGGUGUAGAUGGGUUACAAUUACUAUAUUUGUAAUUACGAAUAAUGCCCUUAAAGGUAAUUAUGAAGGAGGACUUAAAAGUAAAACAAAUUAUAUAGACACUUUGAAUAAAGCUCUGGAACGUGU
rnacentral:rRNA from 1 species